rnacentral:rRNA from 1 species
UACGGAGGGGGCUAGCGUUAUUCGGAAUUACUGGGCGUAAAGCGCACGUAGGCGGCUUUGUAAGUAAGAGGUGAAAGCCCGGAGCUCAACUCCGGAACUGCCUUUUAGACUGCAUCGCUUGAAUCCAGGAGAGGUGAGUGGAAUUCCGAGUGUAGAGGUGAAAUUCGUAGAUAUUCGGAAGAACACCAGUGGCGAAGGCGGCUCACUGGACUGGUAUUGACGCUGAGGUGCGAAAGCGUGGGGAGCAAACAGGGAUUAAGAAACCCGAG